UACGGAGGAUGCGAGCGUUAUCCGGAUUUAUUGGGUUUAAAGGGUGCGUAGGUGGCAACCUAAGCGCAGGGUUUAAGGCAAUGGCUCAACCAUUGUUCGCCCUGCGAACUGGGAUGCUUGAGUGCAGGAGAGGAAAGCGGAAUUCCUAGUGUAGCGGUGAAAUGCGUAGAUAUUAGGAGGAACACCAGUGGCGAAGGCGGCUUUCUGGACUGUAACUGACACUGAGGUACGAAAGCGUGGGGAGCAAACAGG
rnacentral:rRNA from 1 species